rnacentral:lncRNA from 1 species
GACGAACUCGAUGAUUGAGACAGAAAUCGAAGAUGAUGAUAGAGUGUUGAAAGCGCGACAUGGAGAUUCGGAGCUUCAAUUUCGUCUAUUUGGGACUUCUCUCUCUCGUCUUCUUCAUCCCCCAAUGGUAAAAACCGCUAAAUUAAACAAAAUUGACGAAUUGGUUCUUCUUCUUCACUCAGUAGAUAAUCGCAGACUAUUGUAUCCAUUUUUUUUCUUUUGCUCGCUGAGAUUUUGUUUUCAUUCUUGCGUUACUCGUUAGCCCUAAUCCCCUAAGUAGGGAUCAAAGUUGCAUCUUUUUAAACUCUGUUUCUAUAAUUUCUUGCCAUUUUUCUUGAAGCAAUGCAAAAACUCCGUCUUAAGUCUGUAAUCAGAAGAGACUGUGAUGUCCCUUAGACAUGAAACUCACCAAACUGCUUAUUAGACUCAGUUAGACAGAUAUCUCUAUUUUAUCAUGCUCAAUAUGCUUAUUGCCUGUUUCUUAUUUAUCACAAAAGGCACAGGACUUGUGGUGGUGGCCCUGCAUAUGCUACACCCGACAAGCAUUAGAGCUCCUACCAUUUCUUGUGUCUGCAAUUAGAAGCUGUCCUAACAAAUCUGAUGGAAGCACAUGAUACUAAAGUCAUCAUCUUUCUUACAGGUCAAACGAUUCCCAGAAGAAGAAUGCUGAUCUUGCCAAUUAUCAUUGCCAGUUUGGACUAUUGAAAAAUGGUACAUUCUUGAUCAAGGACAGACAAAGUUGGUCUCCUGUUUAAGACAGAAGAUGAGAUUCUGUUGCAAAAACAAGGUAACAUUCACAAAUCCUAGACAUUUUGGUAUCACUAUCUUUGCCUCUUUAAGCUUAUUUAUCAAUUUUCAGAAGAUGAAUGAUACAUACAAGUAAAACAAAAAAGCCUGAAAAAAUCUACAACUUUGCGAUCAUUCUGAGCAUGUUUGCUGCAUCUUUGGCGUUAUCAGGGAUAGGAAGAUUACAGAUAAGUGUAACCCUAGAGGAAGAUAUUAAGAUUUUGUUAGCUUUAUCUUUCUCUGUUGUUUUCCAUAACUUGACUUCCCAAACCUGAAUAGUCUUCCCUGUGCUUACAGGAGUUGCUUCGGCGAAGACAAGGUCUCCGAGAUCAGCACUCUUCAAAUGGUUGAUU